GGAGAGAUGGUCGAGUCUGGUUUAAGGCGGCGGUCUUGAAAACCGCAGAGGAUUUGCGUCCUCCGGGGGUUCGAAUCCCUCUCUCUCCG
rnacentral:tRNA from 2 species